UCAAGCAGAGGGGACAGUCAG
rnacentral:misc_RNA from 1 species